UACGUAGGGGCCGAGCGUUGUCCGGAGUUAUUGGGCGUAAAGCGCGCGCAGGCGGCUUCGCGCGCCCGACGUGAAAGCCCCCGGCUUAACCGGGGAGAGUCGUUGGGGACGGCGGAGCUUGAGGGCGGGAGAGGUCGGUGGAAUUCCCGGUGUAGUGGUGAAAUGCGUAGAGAUCGGGAGGAACACCUGUGGCGAAGGCGGCCGACUGGGCCGACCCUGACGCUGAGGCGCGAGAGCGUGGGGAGCGAACCGG
rnacentral:rRNA from 1 species